rnacentral:rRNA from 1 species
CCCUUAGAUGUUCUGGGCCGCACGCGCGCUACACUGAUGCAUUCAACGAGCCUAUCCUUGACCGACAGGCCCGGGUAAUCUUUGAAUCUGCAUCGUGACGGGGAUAGAUUAUUGCAAUUAUUAAUCUUCAACGAGGAAUGCCUAGUAGGCGCAAGUCAUCAGCUUGCGUCGAUUACGUCCCUGCCCUUUGUACACACCGCCCGUCGCUCCUACCGAUUGGGUGUGCUGGUGAAAUGUUCGGAUCGGCCGUUUGUCGCGGUUUCCGCGUCAUGUGGCUGGGAAGUUCAUUAAACCCUCCCACCUAGAGGAAGGAGAAGUCGUAACA